GUCGAACGCUGGCGGCGUGCUUAACACAUGCAAGUCGAACGGAAAGGCCCUGCUUUGUUUGGGGGGGCGAGGGGCGAACGGGUGAGUAAUACGUGAGUAACCUCACCUUGGCUUUGGGAUUACUUCAGGAAGCUGGGGCUAAUACCUGAUCGGAACUCGUGCUGCCUGGGGGGGGUUGGAACGUUUCGGCGGGUGGGGAUGGACUCGCGGCUUAUCAGCUUGUGGGUGGGGUAGUGGCUUACCAAGGGUUUGGCGGGUAGCCGGCAUGAGAGGGUGACCGGGCCCCAUGGGCCUGAGAGAGGGCGCAGAGUCCAACUGGAGGCAGCAGUGGGAAAUCUUGCCCAACCGGCGCAAGCGUGAUACAGCAGCGCCGGGUUUGUGAUGAAGGUUUUCCAGGUGUGAACCGCUUUCGCCUGAGACGACGCGUAAGUGACGGUAAUGGGUAAAGAAGCACCGGCUAACUACGUG
rnacentral:rRNA from 1 species